GCCUGGAUAGCUCAGCUGGUUAGAGCAUGGUGCUGAUAAUGCCAAGGUGGCAAGUUUGAUCCCUGUACGGCA
rnacentral:tRNA from 1 species